GCACACAGGCUUCGGCAAUACAUAUAAUAAAAUUGCAAUGAUACAGAGAAGAUUAGCAUAGCCGUUUCUCAAGGAUGACACGCAUAUUCGUGAAGCGUUCCAUAUUUCU